UAGAACAACCCUUUAAAAUGUGUGAGCAUG
rnacentral:piRNA from 1 species